UACGUAGGGGUCGAGCGUUGUCCGGACUUACUGGGCGUAAAGCGUGGGUAGGUGGCCGAUGAUGUGCCGUGUGAAAGCGCCGCGCUUCUCGCGGCGAGGUCGCGGUAGACACAUCGACUCGAAGGCAGGAGAGGGAAGUGGAAUUCCGGGUGUAGUGGUGAAAUGCGUAGAUAUCCGGAGGAACACCAGUGGCGAAGGCGACUUUCUGGCCUGUUCUUGACGCUGAGGCGCGAAAGCGUGGGGAUCAAACAGG
rnacentral:rRNA from 1 species